rnacentral:rRNA from 1 species
UACGGAAGGUCCGGGCGUUAUCCGGAUUUAUUGGGUUUAAAGGGAGCGUAGGCCGGAGAUUAAGCGUGUUGUGAAAUGUAGAUGCUCAACAUCUGAACUGCAGCGCGAACUGGUUUUCUUGAGUACGCAUAAAGUGGGCGGAAUUCGUGGUGUAGCGGUGAAAUGCUUAGAUAUCACGAAGAACUCCGAUUGCGAAGGCAGCUCACUGGGGCGCAACUGACGCUGAAGCUCGAAAGCGCGGGUAUCGAACAGG